rnacentral:rRNA from 1 species
CGAAUGCUGACAUAAGUAACGAUAAAGCGGGUGAAAAGCCCGCUCGCCGGAAGACCAAGGGUUCCUGUCCAACGUUAAUCGGGGCAGGGUGAGUCGACCCCUAAGGCGAGGCCGAAAGGCGUAGUCGAUGGGAAACAGGUUAAUAUUCCUGUACUUGGUGUUACUGCGAAGGGGGGACGGAGAAGGCUAUGUUGGCCGGGCGACGGUUGUCCCGGUUUAAGCGUGUAGGCUGGUUUUCCAGGCAAAUCCGGAAAAUCAAGGCUGAGGCGUGAUGACGAGGCACUACGGUGCUGAAGCAACAAAUGCCCUGCUUCCAGGAAAAGCCUCUAAGCAUCAGGUAACAUCAAAUCGUACCCCAAACCGACACAGGUGGUCAGGUAGAGAAUACCAAGGCGCUUGAGAGAACUCGGGUGAAGGAACUAGGCAAAAUGGUGCCGUAACUUCGGGAGAAGGCACGCUGAUAUGUAGGUGAAGUCCCUCGCGGAUGGAGCUGAAAUCAGUCGAAGAUACCAGCUGGCUGCAACUGUUUAUUAAAAACACAGCACUGUGCAAACACGAAAGUGGACGUAUACGGUGUGACGCCUGCCCGGUGCCGGAAGGUUAAUUGAUGGGGUUAGCGCAAGCGAAGCUCUUGAUCGAAGCCCCGGUAAACGGCGGCCGUAACUAUAACGGUCCUAAGGUAGCGAAAUUCCUUGUCGGGUAAGUUCCGACCUGCACGAAUGGCGUAAUGAUGGCCAGGCUGUCUCCACCCGAGACUCAGUGAAAUUGAACUCGCUGUGAAGAUGCAGUGUACCCGCGGCAAGACGGAAAGACCCCGUGAACCUUUACUAUAGCUUGACACUGAACAUUGAGCCUUGAUGUGUAGGAUAGGUGGGAGGCUUUGAAGUGUGGACGCCAGUCUGCAUGGAGCCGACCUUGAAAUACCACCCUUUAAUGUUUGAUGUUCUAACGUGGACCCGUAAUCCGGGUUGCGGACAGUGUCUGGUGGGUAGUUUGACUGGGGCGGUCUCCUCCUAAAGAGUAACGGAGGAGCACGAAGGUUGGCUAAUCCUGGUCGGACAUCAGGAGGUUAGUGCAAUGGCAUAAGCCAGCUUGACUGCGAGCGUGACGGCGCGAGCAGGUGCGAAAGCAGGUCAUAGUGAUCCGGUGGUUCUGAAUGGAAGGGCCAUCGCUCAACGGAUAAAAGGUACUCCGGGGAUAACAGGCUGAUACCGCCCAAGAGUUCAUAUCGACGGCGGUGUUUGGCACCUCGAUGUCGGCUCAUCACAUCCUGGGGCUGAAGUAGGUCCCAAGGGUAUGGCUGUUCGCCAUUUAAAGUGGUACGCGAGCUGGGUUUAGAACGUCGUGAGACAGUUCGGUCCCUAUCUGCCGUGGGCGCUGGAGAACUGAGGGGGGCUGCUCCUAGUACGAGAGGACCGGAGUGGACGCAUCACUGGUGUUCGGGUUGUCAUGCCAAUGGCACUGCCCGGUAGCUAAAUGCGGAAGAGAUAAGUGCUGAAAGCAUCUAAGCACGAAACUUGCCCCGAGAUGAGUUCUCCCUGACUCCUUGAGAGUCCUGAAGGAACGUUGAAGACGACGACGUUGAUAGGCCGGGUGUGUAAGCGCAGCGAUGCGUUGAGCUAACCGGUACUAAUGAACCGUGAGG